AUUAAACCCCAAAAACACAAAGUUUUGGUCCUAAACUUACCGUUGUUUUUAGCCAAAAUUACACAUGCAAGCCUCCACGUACCAGUGAAAAUGCCCACAUAUUCCUAAACAGAUAAUCGGAGCAGGCAUCAGGAUCAUAAAAUUUUAGCCAAUAACGCCUUGCUACGCCACACCCGCACGGGCUCACAGCAGUGAUUAACAUUAAGACAUAAGCGAAAGCUUGACUUAGUUAUGACUAAUAUAGAUCGGUAAAUUUCGUGCCAGCCACCGCGGUUAUACGAAAGAUUCUAAACAACGGCCUUCGGCGUAAAGCGUGACUAGAUUUAAACGUCCAAAAAAAUUAAAGGAAAACCAUCGUCAGGCCGUAAAACGCUACCACGAACUGGAACCACAUCAACAAGUGCCCUUAAACAGAAGACUGUUUUACCUCACGAAAGCUAAGAAACAAACUGGGAUUAGAUACCCCACUAUGCUU
rnacentral:rRNA from 1 species